GACGAACGCUGGCGGCGUGCUUAACACAUGCAAGUCGAGCGGAGCGUCGAACGGGUGAGUAACGCGUGAAUAACUGCCCCCCUCUCUGGGAUAAAAGUUGGAAACGGCUGCUCAAACCGGAUAGUGGUGGAUGACUCGCGUCCUAUCAGCUUGUUGGUGGGGUAGUUGCCUACCAAGGCGACGACGGGGAGCCGGCCUGAGAGGCCGACCGGCCACCAUGUGCGGAGAAACGGCCCAAACUCCUAAGGGAGGCAGCAGUGGGGAAUAUUGCACAAUGGGGGAAACCCUGAGGCAGCAACGCCGCGUGCGGGAUGACGGCCUUCGGGUUGUAAAGCUCUGUUAAUCGGGACGGCGAAUAGUGCGAGGAUUUGACGGUACCGGAAUAGAAAGCCACGGCUAACUACGUGCCAGCAUCCGCGGUAAUUC
rnacentral:rRNA from 1 species